ACUUCUGAAUCCUUUUCUUUAGGACCUUUCUAACCCUUGUUUGGUCCUGAUUAGACUUUGUCUUAAAUCCCAAAGUCUUGUCCUAAAAUUAAGAUGGGUUGUAAGAAAGAAAGGAGAGCAACCGAGAGAAAAAGGAAAGCAGAUUGAAUGUUUUGAACACUCGGUGUGCACACCUAUUUAUAGGUGUCAGAGGAACGUCCAAAUAUAAGAAC
rnacentral:lncRNA from 1 species